rnacentral:sRNA from 1 species
AGUAACAUUCUUACCACUCACAUAGCAACACCGUUUAGCGCAGGCUCUUAAGAGCCAUUUCCCCUAGGCCCACCGACGGAACCGAUGGGCCUCUUUUU